GGUCCCGUAGUGUAGCGGUUAUCACGUCGCCCUGUCACGUCGAAGAUCGCGGGUUCGAUUCCCGUCGGGACCG
rnacentral:tRNA from 2 species